GGAAGUCAGAGCCUGUUGUUCUCAGCAGGACCAUGGCAGGGCAAUGCUGAUUUAAGCAAGGCUGCUCUCAGGUCUCUACCUUUAAUAUGAGAGCAUCCUCACUGCAAGGGUGAAUUAGGCUCCUACCUGCUCUGUACCCGCAGCUAUAAUUUAGUGCCCAAAUGCUGUCAUGUGUUAACCCUGGCCAGCUUGCUCAGCUGGUCUGCAGUACAAAGCAUUGCUUUGCACGUGACAUGGUGAAAACACUGGAGCUGACAGUGCCCCAGUACUGGGGUGCCUAAAUAAGCCAGACCUGUCCUCCCCCAGGGAAGGCCAUUCCAUCAUGCUACAGUACUAACUGUCUGUGACCCCGCUCCCUAAAGCUCCAGCAGCAUGAGGUGCUCAGUUCUGUGCCCUUCAGCCCUGGCAGCUCCAGGCUGGCUCUACCUGUCCCUGCCUGUGCCAAGCUUCACUCACCUGCAGCACUAAAGGCAUGGCUUGCAGCACGAAGCCAGGCACAUAGUCAGUGACAGUGCCUUGUGCCCCAGGGGAGCCUUCCUGGUAGCUGCUGCCCUGACUGCUUGCAGGAAUGCUGUUCUUCUAUUUCUUUCUGCAUUUCCCAAGAUACCAACCCAUGCCAGGUCCUUCAAAGGCUGCUGAGCGGGGGAAUGUAUCCCCCCAGAAAUGAGAGCUCAGGGGAAGGAGGAAGGGAGGUGAAUGCAGCAGAAAGUGAUACUUCUGAAUGAGGUAAGAGACUCAUGGGCUGGGUUCAGUGAGAUGUUAAACUGCCAUUAAGAAAUACCUUGUUCAGGUGAAGGAGAGGGGCUGUGAAGAUGUAAAGAACCUGAAGUAACUUUAGAGAUGUUAAAUUAAUGACUGUUAGCUUCUGCUUUUGUGCUCAUCUCAGCACUCUGAAGAGCAGUCAAGUGACUCAUUUUCUGCUUACAUUUACUGCCUCUAUAGAAAUGAUGGGGAUGCACUGAGAAGCAGAAACAUCAGAAGGUACCAUCCACAUUUCCCCCAGAUAAGGCAGGAGAGGGCAAGGUGCCUUCUUGCAGGGCUCAGAUGCUUCCAGAUGCCAGGCCAUUGAAAGAGUUGAAGUUGUCGUUAUUUGGCAUAGGGAGAGGAGCUGUGUUUUUUUUUUAAGGAUUGGCACUAAAGUACAAAAAUAGGACUGUAGAAAAUUCAUGAAAAAUAUGAUGCCAUUUAAAAUACUCUUCUGUCAUACAUUCCUUUCUUGAAAAAUAAAUACAUAUGCUUAUAAGCUUUUCCAACCAGCACCAAGCAUGGUCCUCUAUAGUUCUUCACGUUCCCCGAGUUUGACUUAAAAAUAAAGAUCUUCAGAAGUGGAGGAAAUAAAAUAAAA
rnacentral:lncRNA from 1 species